rnacentral:rRNA from 1 species
UACGGGGGGGGCAAGCGUUGUUCGGAAUUACUGGGCGUAAAGGGCUCGUAGGUGGCCAACUAAGUCAGACGUGAAAUCCCUCGGCUUAACCGGGGAACUGCGUCUGAUACUGGAUGGCUUGAGUGUGGGAGAGGGAUGCGGAAUUCCAGGUGUAGCGGUGAAAUGCGUAGAUAUCUGGAGGAACACCGGUGGCGAAGGCGGCAUCCUGGACCGAUACUGACGCUGAGGAGCGAAAGCCAGGGGAGCAAACGGG